rnacentral:rRNA from 1 species
UACGAAGGGGGCUAGCGUUGCUCGGAAUUACUGGGCGUAAAGCGCACGUAGGCGGCUCUUUAAGUCGGGGGUGAAAUCCUGGAGCUCGACUCCAGAACUGCCUUUGAUACUGGGAGUCUCGAGUUCGGGAGAGGUGAGUGGAACUGCGAGUGUAGAGGUGAAAUUCGUAGAUAUUCGCAAGAACACCAGUGGCGAAGGCGGCUCACUGGCCCGAUACUGACGCUGAGGUGCGAAAGCGUGGGGAGCAAAC